GUACGGGGGAGCAAGCGUUGUUCGGAUUUACUGGGCGUAAAGGGCGCGGUAGGCGGCGCAACAAGUCACUUGUGAAAUCUCCGGGCUUAACUCGGAGCGGUCAAGUGAUACUGUCGUGCUAGAGUGCGGAAGGGGCUACUGGGAAUUCUCGGUGUAGCGGUGAAAUGCGUAGAUAUCGAAGAGGAACACCAGUGGCGAAGGCGACACGCUGGGCCGUACCUGACGCUGAGGAGCGAAAGCGUGGGGAGCAAACAGG
rnacentral:rRNA from 1 species